GUAGGUGGCAAGCGUUGUCCGGAAUUAUUGGGCGUAAAGCGCGCGCAGGCGGUUCUUUAAGUCUGAUGUGAAAGCCCACGGCUCAACCGUGGAGGGUCAUUGGAAACUGGAGAACUUGAGUACAGAAGAGGAAAGCGGAAUUCCACGUGUAGCGGUGAAAUGCGUAGAGAUGUGGAGGAACACCAGUGGCGAAGGCGGCUUUCUGGUCUGUAACUGACGCUGAGGCGCGAAAGCGUGGGGAGCAAACAGGGAUUAGAUACCCUGGUAGUCCACGCCGUAAACGAUGAGUGCUAAGUGUUAGGGGGGGUUUCCGCCCCCGUUAGUGCUGCAGCUAACGCAUUAAGCACUCCGCCUGGGGUAGUACGGCCGCAAGGCUG
rnacentral:rRNA from 1 species